rnacentral:rRNA from 1 species
CCCCGGACCAAGGCGCCCGCCGGAGGACCAACCAAAACUCUUAUUGUAUACCCCCUCGCGGGUUUUUUUUAUAAUCUGAGCCUUCUCGGCGCCUCUCGUAGGCGUUUCGAAAAUGAAUCAAAACUUUCAACAACGGAUCUCUUGGUUCUGGCAUCGAUGAAGAACGCAGCGAAAUGCGAUAAGUAAUGUGAAUUGCAGAAUUCAGUGAAUCAUCGAAUCUUUGAACGCACAUUGCGCCCGCCAGUAUUCUGGCGGGCAUGCCUGUCCGAGCGUCAUUUCAACCCUCGAACCCCUCCGGGGGGUCGGCGUUGGGGAUCGGCCCUGCCUUGGCGGUGGCCGUCUCCGAAAUACAGUGGCGGUCUCGCCGCAGCCUCUCCUGCGCAGUAGUUUGCACACUCGCAUCGGGAGCGCGGCGCGUCCACAGCCGUUAAACACCCAACUUCUGAAAUGUUGACCUCGGAUCAGGUAGGAAUACCCGCUGAACUUAAGCAUAUCAAAAGGCCGGA